rnacentral:rRNA from 1 species
AGUGAACGCUGGCGGUAGGCCUAACACAUGCAAGUCGAACGGCAGCACAGUAAGAGCUUGCUCUUACGGGUGGCGAGUGGCGGACGAGUGAGGAAUACAUCGGAAUCUACUUUUUCGUGGGGGAUAACGUAGGGAAACUUACGCUAAUACCGCAUACGACCUACGGGUGAAAGCAGGGGAUCUUCGGACCUUGCGCGAUUGAAUGAGCCGAUGUCGGAUUAGCUAGUUGGCGGGGUAAAGGCCCACCAAGGCGACGAUCCGUAGCUGGUCUGAGAGGAUGAGCAGCCACACGGGAACUGAGACACGGUCCAGACUCCUACGGGGGGCAGGAGUGGGGAAUAUUGGACAAUGGGCGCAAGCCUGAUCCAGCCAUACCGCGUGGGUGAAGAAGGCCUUCGGGUUGUAAAACCCUUUUGUUGGGAAAGAAAAGCAGCAGGUUAAUACCCCGCUGUUCUGACGGUACCCAAAGAAUAAGCACCGGCUAACUUCGUG